UACGGUGCUGAAGCAACAAAUGCCCUGCUUCCAGGAAAAGCCUCUAAGCAUCAGGUAACACGAAAUCGUACCCCAAACCGACACAGGUGGUCAGGUAGAGAAUACCAAGGCGCUUGAGAGAACUCGGGUGAAGGAACUAGGCAAAAUGGUGCCGUAACUUCGGGAGAAGGCACGCUGACACGUAGGUGAAGUGAUUUACUCAUGGAGCUGAAGUCAGUCGAAGAUACCAGCUGGCUGCAACUGUUUAUUAAAAACACAGCACUGUGCAAACACGAAAGUGGACGUAUACGGUGUGACGCCUGCCCGGUGCCGGAAGGUUAAUUGAUGGGGUCAGCGUAAGCGAAGCUCCUGAUCGAAGCCCCGGUAAACGGCGGCCGUAACUAUAACGGUCCUAAGGUAGCGAAAUUCCUUGUCGGGUAAGUUCCGACCUGCACGAAUGGCGUAAUGAUGGCCAGGCUGUCUCCACCCGAGACUCAGUGAAAUUGAACUCGCUGUGAAGAUGCAGUGUACCCGCGGCAAGACGGAAAGACCCCGUGAACCUUUACUAUAGCUUGACACUGAACAUUGAGCCUUGAUGUGUAGGAUAGGUGGGAGGCUUUGAAGUGUGGACGCCAGUCUGCAUGGAGCCGACCUUGAAAUACCACCCUUUAAUGUUUGAUGUUCUAACGUGGACCCGUAAUCCGGGUUGCGGACAGUGUCUGGUGGGUAGUUUGACUGGGGCGGUCUCCUCCUAAAGAGUAACGGAGGAGCACGAAGGUUGGCUAAUCCUGGUCGGACAUCAGGAGGUUAGUGCAAUGGCAUAAGCCAGCUUGACUGCGAGCGUGACGGCGCGAGCAGGUGCGAAAGCAGGUCAUAGUGAUCCGGUGGUUCUGAAUGGAAGGGCCAUCGCUCAACGGAUAAAAGGUACUCCGGGGAUAACAGGCUGAUACCGCCCAAGAGUUCAUAUCGACGGCGGUGUUUGGCACCUCGAUGUCGGCUCAUCACAUCCUGGGGCUGAAGUAGGUCCCAAGGGUAUGGCUGUUCGCCAUUUAAAGUGGUACGCGAGCUGGGUUUAGAACGUCGUGAGACAGUUCGGUCCCUAUCUGCCGUGGGCGCUGGAGAACUGAGGGGGGCUGCUCCUAGUACGAGAGGACCGGAGUGGACGCAUCACUGGUGUUCGGGUUGUCAUGCCAAUGGCACUGCCCGGUAGCUAAAUGCGGAAGAGAUAAGUGCUGAAAGCAUCUAAGCACGAAACUUGCCCCGA
rnacentral:rRNA from 1 species